UACGUAGGGGGCGAGCGUUGUCCGGAUUUACUGGGCGUAAAGCGCGUGUAGGCGGCCCGUUAAGUGGGGUGUGAAAGCCCGGGGCUCAACCCCGGGACGCCGCUUCAAACUGGCGGGCUUGAGGACGGAAGAGGGGAGUGGAAUUCCUGGUGUAGCGGUGAAAUGCGUAGAGAUCAGGAGGAACACCCGUGGCGAAGGCGGCUCCCUGGUCCGUCCCUGACGCUGACGACGCGAAAGCGUGGGGAGCGAACAGG
rnacentral:rRNA from 1 species